GGGGGUAGAGCUCAGUUGGCAGAGUUUUUGCCUCACAUGUACAAGACCCUGGGUUCAAUCCCCAGCACCACUU
rnacentral:tRNA from 1 species